GAUAGGGUGCCCGGGAGAACUAAGGAGAGGAGUUCGGGGUCGGGGCGCGGGAAGGCGGGAGGUGCCCGGCAACCCUAGGAGCCCGGCGCGGGGCACGAUGGGACGCCCCCGGGAAGAGGCGGAGCUGGGUUCGAGCGCUGGGGCUGCGGUUGGGAAACUACUGGAGGAUGUGGUGCACCAGAAUAAGAGAAUAAACCAAGAAACAGGAAGACGUGAUCCAGGCAACAGGAUAUUCCAGUAUAGAAUUUAAUUCUGGAGUGUGAGCAGGAACCAGUUAACUACAUUCAUUGUCCAACCCCCACUGGUUUGAAAGAAGACUCCAAAUUCUUGGCAUAUGAAUCAGCUGUUCGGUAGCUCCACCUUAUCCCUGCAGCGAAGCAGCAGAACCGCCAAUGGCGGCACCUCAGGAUUCACACUGUGGGUGGUGAGGCCUUCCGCUGAAGGAGGUACUGGUGGAUGCUCUCAGCAUCUCGCUUUAGCCAGGCAGCAUUCAGCAGAAUAUUUUCACAACACUGCUGGAUGGUACGCUCAGCUGAAGGAGCUGGGUGACUCUCGAAGAAAGCCUGGUAUAAAACAACCCAGAAUGCAGGAUCAUUACUAGCAAUAAGAAGUUAAUAUUACAGGUUAUGAAAAAAUACCCACUGGUCUAUAUGAAGGAUGCAUAAUCUUCAGGCAUGAGAAUUUACCACUGCCACCCUCAGGCUAAAAGAAAACAAGCAACUCCUUGGACCUGCAUAUAGGAAUUCUCCCCUUAAUUAUAUGCUUAACAACCUAAUCAAAAGUUAAUAAAGAGACAGAACCUACUGCCUUUCUUUUAGGCUAAUUGUGUAGUGGUAAAUAUAGUCUUUGGAAUGAAGACUUGGAACCUGAAUCCAGGCUUAGUCAUGUACUAGCUUGUGACUGUGAGAAAAUUAACUGCUCUAAGUCUCAGUUUUCUCAACUAUGAGAAAAUAUCUACUCCAGAAGAUUAAAGAGACAAUCCAUAUAAACAUUUGACAAAAUACCUAGCACAGAGUACUUAAGGAUUCAACACAUUUUGGCUGCUUCAAAUAAAGAUUAAUUUGUAAGGGAUGAUAAUACAAAGAAGUUUAAAUUGCUGCUAUGCCCUAAUAAUUUAACACCCCAUGGUCUUUUUUUUUUUUUUUUUUUUGAGACAGGGUCUCACUCUGUUGCCCAGGCUAGAGUGCAAUGAAACGAUCAUGGCUCAUCACAGCCUCAACCUUCUGGGCUCAAGUAAACCUCCCACCUUAACUUCCUGGGUAGCUGGGACCACAAGCGUGCACUCCCAGGCCAAAUUGUUUUUUCCUUUUUGUAGAGAUGGGGUCCUACCAUGUUGCCCAGACUGGUCUUGAACUCUUGAACUCAAGCAAUCCUCCCACCUCAGCCUCCCAAAAUGCUGGAAUUACAGGAAUCCAACAUUUUUAAUACAGUAAACCAAACAAUUUCUAAGUUUACAAUUUAUCACAAUGCUUAAUGAUUAAAAGUUGAAUAAACUUUUCUAAUGCAGUACACCUGGUUUCACAGAAAACAAAGCAACUCUUAAACACCAGCUGGCAAAAUGAUAGGGCUUUUCCUUUGAAUUAGUCACCACAGGUGUGAAAGACAGAAUGACUAAUCCAUCUGAUUAAACAUAGACCUUUUAGAAAUCAAUAACCUUAUUUACACAGAUGACAAUUGCUACUGUUCCAAGGCUCCUAAUCAUGGUUCAGUUCUCAGGGCCUCAAGUCUUUUUCCAUUCCAUCGCAGAGUAGUACCAACAUUUAUACACCAGAAACCUGGGGAUUAUCCUGGCUUGUUUUUCUUCCUCUCCCAGAUAUGCUCACAACAGAGAAGCCAAUCAAUAAAUAUUGUUGAACUAAAUGGUUAACAAAUUCAAGCCCCUGAAUCUCCAUUAUUCCAUCUCCUCCACUACUGCCACUACCCUACUGUAAGCUAUUCUAUCAUUCUUGCUAGGAGAGUUAGCUUCCCAACAUCUUCUCUUCCCCAUUCCAAACUAUUAUCCACAUUGCAGCCAGACUGAAAUUUUUAUAACACAAAUCAGAUCAAGGCACUGCCUUGUUUAUAAACCAUUCGAAGGCUUUCCAUUUUUAGGACUUUUUUUUUUUUUUUUUUUUUUGAGACAGGAGUCUCGCUCUGUCACCCAGGCUGGAGUGCAAUGGCACGAUCUCAGCUCACUGCAACCUCCACCUCCCGGGCUCAAGCAAUUCUC
rnacentral:lncRNA from 10 species